UCAGGACGAACGCUGGCGGCGUGCCUAACACAUGCAAGUCGAGCGAGGAGAUCCUCGGGAUGAUCCUAGCGGCGGACGGGUGAGUAACACGUGGGCAACCUGCCUCAUAGAGAGGAAUAGCCUUCCGAAAGGGAGAUUAAUACCUCAUAACAUUGCAGUUUCGCAUGGAACAGCAAUUAAAGGAGCAAUCCGCUAUGAGAUGGGCCCGCGGCGCAUUAGCUAGUUGGUGAGGUAACGGCUCACCAAGGCGACGAUGCGUAGCCGACCUGAGAGGGUGAUCGGCCACAUUGGGACUGAGACACGGCCCAGACUCCUACGGGAGGCAGCAGUGGGGAAUAUUGCACAAUGGGGGAAACCCUGAUGCAAGCAACGCCGCGUGAGUGAUGACGGCCUUCGGGUUGUAAAGCUCUGUCUUCAGGGACGAUAAUGACGGUACCUGAGGAGGAAGCCACGGCUAACUACGUGCCAGCCGCAGC
rnacentral:rRNA from 1 species